rnacentral:rRNA from 1 species
UGGAGCAAACCUCAGAAAGCCAAUCUCAGUUCGGAUUGUAGGCUGCAACUCGCCUACAUGAAGUUGGAAUCGCUAGUAAUCGCGAAUCAGAAUGUCGCGGUGAAUACGUUCCCGGGUCUUGUACACACCGCCCGUCACACCACGAGAGUUUACAACACCCGAAGUCAGUGGCCUAACCGCAAGGAGGGAGCUGCCUAAGGUGGGGUAGAUGAUUGGGGUGAAGUCGUAACAAGGUAAC